AUAUAAAUAAGCUAAAUAAGUCUUCUAGGUUCAUACCCUAAUUAUAGAAAUUUUAAUUUUCUUUUAUAUA
rnacentral:tRNA from 1 species